rnacentral:lncRNA from 1 species
AUGCAGGCAACCCAGGAAGGUUUUCCUGCCACAGGAGAACAAAGGGAGGAGAGGACAACUAAAGACACCAUGGCUUCUUCUGACCCCUGGGGACGACUGGACUGGAUCUUCUCCUGUCCUGAGUGAGCUGGAUGCUGGACGCCGAGAUCUUGUGACCCAAUGGUGAUGGAAAUGAAAUAGAGUCUGAUGAGUGUGCAGAUAAGGCAAAUUUUCUUGGGGCUUCCAUUUAGAAAGGAUAAGAGGACCCCGGUUAGCUUCUUGAAUAAAAGGAGGGUGCUGGCUUGAUUGGUUACCUAAAGGAAUGUUCACUGGCUUCCGGUAUUCUCCGCCCCAGUCUGGCCUGUGCAAAAGCCUUGACAGGAGUGAGCAGAAGCUGUAGCGGCCUCCCCAGAGCUGUCCAGAAUGAUUCGACAUGAAUACAGAUAAUUCAUGCAGAAAGCAGACUGCAGGCAGAUCACUGCCCUGGGACCAGAAAACCUGUGCCUUGCAAAUUGAGUGUCAGUGGGACAUGUGUCUGUCAGCAAGGCUAUCUCAGGACAUAAAGAACAGGAAGACCUGUGAAGUAGACACCAAGCAGAUGUCUGAGAAGGACCGGGAGGCCUCUGAGCUUCAACAGUGAAGGGGAAGAAAAUGAAGAGGCAGACCAUUGGCCCUGAGGGUCAGUGAAUCUCUGUGAUGCCUUAUGUUCUCUUGUCUCAAGUGUCAGGACACCCCGGCG